UACGUAGGCAGCGAGCGUUGUUCGGAAUUACUGGGCGUAAAGAGUGUGUAGGCGGUGCUCUAAGUUCGGUGUGAAAUCUCCCGGCUUAACUGGGAGGGUGCGCCGGAAACUGGAGUGCUCGAGCGUGGGAGAGGAAAGCGGAAUUCCUGGUGUAGCGGUGAAAUGCGUAGAUAUCAGGAGGAACACCGGUGGCGAAGGCGGGUCUCUGGGCCGAUACUGACGCUGAGGAGCGAAAGCGUGGGGAGCGAACAGG
rnacentral:rRNA from 1 species